CUUGCUUCUCUUGAGAGCGGCGGACGGGUGAGUAAUGCCUAGGAAUCUGCCUGGUAGUGGGGGAUAACGUCCGGAAACGGACGCUAAUACCGCAUACGUCCUACGGGAGAAAGCAGGGGACCUUCGGGCCUUGCGCUAUCAGAUGAGCCUAGGUCGGAUUAGCUAGUUGGUGGGGUAAUGGCUCACCAAGGCGACGAUCCGUAACUGGUCUGAGAGGAUGAUCAGUCACCCUGGAACUGAGACACGGUCCAGACUCCUACGGGAGGCAGCAGUGGGGAAUAUUGGACAAUGGGCGAAAGCCUGAUCCAGCCAUGCCGCGUGUGUGAAGAAGGUCUUCGGAUUGUAAAGCACUUUAAGUUGGGAGGAAGGGCAGUAAAUUAAUACUUUGCUGUUUUGACGUUACCGACAGAAUAAGCACCGGCUAACUCUGUGCCAGCAGCCGCGGUAAUACAGAGGGUGCAAGCGUUAAUCGGAAUUACUGGGCGUAAAGCGCGCGUAGGUGGUUCGUUAAGUUGGAUGUGAAAUCCCCGGGUGUCAACCUGGGAACUGCAUUCAAAACUGACGAGCUAGAGUAUGGUAGAGGGUGGUGGAAUUU
rnacentral:rRNA from 1 species